AUGGAUCCACUUACUCCUCUCUACACGUCAGUGUCAAGAACAAGGCGAAAGAAUGAAGGAAUCUCGUACCUUCGAUAUGAAUUGGCUGAAGCAAAGAAGAUGAUUGCAGAUAUGUUGAAUCUUGUUUCGAUCUUCUUAUUUCCUCUCUCUUCUUUUCAUGUGUAUGCUUCUGAAUGUUCUGUGUUGCUCGCUACGUUGUGGUGA